UAGGCGGAAAGGUUUAGUGUUACCCUUUCCGCCACUUCUGUAACUUGUAACA
rnacentral:sRNA from 12 species